AUUGAACGCUGGCGGCGUGCUUUACACAUGCAAGUCGAACGGCAGCAUGCCUAGCAAUAGGUGAUGGCGAGUGGCGGACGGGUGAGUAAUACAUCGAGACGUGCCCUGUAGUUGGGGAUACCUCAUCGAAAGAUGAGUUAAUACCGAAUAAUCUCUGAGGAGGAAAGGUGGGGACCCGCGAGGGCCUAGCGCUAUAGGAGCGGUCGAUGCUUGAUUAGUUAGUUGGUGGGGUAAAGGCUUACCAAGGCGAUGAUCAAUAGCUGUUCUGAGAGGAAGAUCAGCCACACUGGGACUGAGACACGGCCCAGACUCCUACGGGAGGCAGCAGUGGGGAAUUUUGGACAAUGGGGGCAACCCUGAUCCAGCAACGCCGCGUGAAUGAAGAAGGCCUUAGGGUUGUAAAGUUCUUUUGUCUGGGGACAAAAGUCAGUAGUGAAUAACUAUUGAUGUUGAGGGUACCAGAAGAAUAAGCACCGGCUAACUACGUGCCAGCAGCCGCCGUAAAAC
rnacentral:rRNA from 1 species